UACGUAGGGGGCAAGCGUUGUCCGGAAUCAUUGGGCGUAAAGCGCGCGUAGGCGGCCCGGUAAGUCCGCUCUGAAAGUCCAGGGCUUAACCCUGGAAAGCGGGUGGAUACUGCCGGGCUUGAAUCCGGAAGAGGCGAGUGGAAUUCCUGGUGUAGCGGUGAAAUGCGCAGAUAUCAGGAAGAACACCCGUGGCGAAAGCGGCUCUCUGGAACGGUACUGACGCUGAGACGCGAAAGCGUGGGGAG
rnacentral:rRNA from 1 species